rnacentral:snRNA from 1 species
AAUGUAGGCAAGGGAAGUCG